UGCGCCUUGCCAGCCCGCUCAGAAACUUAAAGGAAUUGACGGGGGCCCGCACAAGCGGUGGAGCAUGUGGUUUAAUUCGAUGCAACGCGAAGAACCUUACCUGGGCUUGACAUCCCAAGAAUCCCCUGGAAACAGGGGAGUGCCCUUCGGGGAGCUUGGAGACAGGUGCUGCAUGGCUGUCGUCAGCUCGUGUCGUGAGAUGUUGGGUUAAGUCCCGCAACGAGCGCAACCCUUAUCUUUAGUUGCCAUCAUUGAGUUGGGCACUCUAAAGAGACUGCCGGUGUCAAACCGGAGGAAGGUGGGGAUGACGUCAAGUCCCCAUGGCCUUUAUGACCAGGGCUACACACGUACUACAAUGGCCGGUACAAAGGGCAGCGACACAGCGAUGUGAAGCCAAUCCCGAAAAGCCGGUCUCAGUCCGGAUUGGAGUCUGCAACUCGACUCCAUGAAGUUGGAAUCGCUAGUAAUCGCGGAUCAGCACGCCGCGGUGAAUACGUUCCCGGGCCUU
rnacentral:rRNA from 1 species